UACGUAGGGGGCCAGCGUUGUUCGGAAUUACUGGGUGUAAAGGGUUCGUAGGCGGUGCGGCAAGUUGGGAGUGAAAUCUCUGGGCUUAACCCAGAGGCUGCUCUCAAAACUGCUGUGCUUGAGUGUGAGAGAGGCUCGUGGAAUUGCAGGUGUAGCGGUGAAAUGCGUAGAUAUCUGCAGGAACACCCGUGGCGAAGGCGGGUCUCUGGACAGUUCCUGACGCUGAGGCACGAAGGUCAGGGGAGCAAACGGG
rnacentral:rRNA from 1 species